ACUGCAAAAAAAGAUGUUUGACAGCUGGUGAGGAAUGGAAGACUUAGAUGGGAGGUUCAGUUACUAGACAGCAGAGCUGAACUUAGAGCUGAAAAUGUAAAUGAAUGGAGUCAAUCAACACUGGGCUUUAGCCAAUUGUUUCCAUGUGUAAAUCUGGGUCUGAAGAUUUUCAGUGGAAGUCAGAAAUAUGGAUUUUUAUGUAAAACAUCAAGAUUUUUUUUUCUUUUCCACAGCCACUGACUUAUAACUCAUGUAAGCUGUUUCUCAAAUAUCUGCCCAGUGGUGCUGGCGAGAGCCCGAUGAAAAUGCACAGAGUGACACAACCUGGCCACCACUACCAGAAGUAAACAGCUCAGUGAUUCUCGUCUAUUCUCUCACAGCUACACACCAAUGAAAACAAACACCCGAAACCGUCUUCUGUGGCAUUGCAUUUGUCCAGUUGAAAAAGAACACCUUAGACUUAACUUUUAAAAUGUCUGUAAUAAAAAUAUAAUUCCAUUUUC
rnacentral:antisense_RNA from 1 species